ACCCGCUGAAUUUAAGCAUAUCAAUAAGCGGAGGAGAGGAAACUAACCAGGAUUCCCCCAGUAGCGGCGAGUGAAGCGGGAAGAGCCCAAGCCUUUAAUCUCCGGCCUCGGCGAAUUGUAGUCUGGAGACGGGUCUUCUUCCUCCCAAAGUCGUCGUGGAAAGGCGCGCCUGAGAGGGUGAGAGCCCCGUCGAGUCGGGUUGUUUGGGAUUGCAGCCCCAAGCGGGUGGUAAACUCCAUCCAAGGCUAAGUAUCUGCACGAGACCGAUAGCGAACAAGUACCGUGAGGGAAAGA
rnacentral:rRNA from 1 species